rnacentral:rRNA from 1 species
CCCAAUGGGCGGGAACCUCGGGAACUGAGAAUAAUACCCGAUAGAACAUUAUGCCUGGAAUGGUUUAUGUUUCAAAUGAUUUAUCGCCAUAGGAUGGGACUGCGGCCUAUCAGUUUGUUGGUGAGGUAAUGGCCCACCAAGACUAUUACAGGUACGGGCUCUGAGAGGAGUGGCCCGGAGAUGGGUACUGAGACACGGACCCAGGCCCUAUGGGGCGCAGCAGGCGAGAAAACUUUGCAAUGUGCGAAAGCACGACAAGGUUAAUCCGAGUGGUUUCUGCUAAAGAAACCUUUUGUCAGUCCUAGAAACACUGAUGAAUAAGGGGUGGGCAAGUUCUGGUGUCAGCCGCCGCGGUAAAACCAGCACCUCAAGUGGUCAGGAUGAUUAUUGGGCCUAAAGCAUCCGUAGCUCGUUUUGUAAGUGUUCGGUUAAAUCCAUGCGCUUAACGUAUGGGCUGCCGGGAAUACUGCAUAACUAGGAAGUGGGAGAGGUAGACGGUACUCGGUAGGAAGGGGUAAAAUCCUUUGAUCUAUUGAUGACCACCUGUGGCGAAGGCGGUCUACCAGAACACGUUCGACGGUGAGGGAUGAAAGCUGGGGGAGCAAACCGGAUUAGAUACCCGGGUAGUCCCAGCUGUAAACUAUGCAAACUCAGUGAUGCAUUGGCUUGUGGCCAAUGCAGUGCUGCAGGGAAGCCGUUAAGUUUGCCGCCUGGGAAGUACGUACGCAAGUAUGAAACUUAAAGGAAUUGGCGGGGGAGCAC